AAUGAGUAAAAUAAUCUAUAAAACAGUUCGAUAUACAUCAAAGUUACAAACAGCGCCACCCAGCGGCGGGCUUUAGAAACGCAUCACAGAUGCUCGCGGCGGUGGCUCGUGCACUUCUUUAAUAAUACAGGCUAUGCACGCGAGUUAGCAAGUUUUUAGGGACUCUUUGUCGCAUUAUUGUAGAAGCGAGAUGGCAGAAUUCAGCCCGAAGCGUCCAGCUGAAGGUGGACCUCCUCCCUUUCCUCCCCCGAAGAACAAUAAACGCUCUUCGGCUAAAAAGGCCUCCGACAAAGAGCGAGACAAGAGCCGGAUCAACGUCGGGCCGGCGUUCCCCAGAUGGAGAGCACUGCGAGCGGCCAAAGGGCUCCAGCUGGACUCGGAGCUGGCCUUUCUUCUGCUCGACGCCUAUGAGAGGGGCUCUUUGGUUUCAGCACCGAGUCGCCGGGCAGUUCUUCCUCCUGCAGUUUCAGCUGCUCGUCUUUCUCCUAGUAUCCUCGAGGGACAGACGGACUUUGACGAGGAUCAAGUCAACUCUCUGGAACAUUGUGUGAUCGAGUGCGAGAGUGUUUCAGGAGAAACGGGGCAGCAGAGAGAGCACAGCUCUGACGAGGACCGUGCCCCCCCACUUCAUAUACGUUUGGGAUCCGCUCUGGACAAAAGGCCACAGCUGGACAACCUGCCCGUCAUCGCAGCUGGCGAGAUGGUCCACGACCUUCCCGCGGAUCUCGGCCCCCCUGCGGAGAAGACUGCGGUUCCUACCGAGCCGCACGCGGUGAUGAGAGAAGAAGACAUUGUCGGCUCCCGCGCCGCCAUCGUCUACGAGGAGAGUCUACGUCAGCUGACCGCGCUGCUCCACCUGCCUGUGACACGCUGUCGACACAGGAUGUCCUCCGGGCUGCUGUGCCUCGGCCUCCCCCCCUUUCAGAGCAGGGUUCACCAGCGGCGUACGGCCUUUGUGGUAGAAUGGGUGUGCCCUCACGGUCAUGUGGUGUGGAGCUGGACCUCGCAGCCGAGCCUGAAUUUUGGGAUGUUGGCCGGUGACUUCCUGCUGGGGACGAACAUCCUGCUGAGCGGCAGCGACUACGCUAAAGUCGCCCUGCUGCUCCGCUUCAUGAACAUGGGAGUCCUGAGUCCGGGCAGCUUCUCCAGGAUCCAGGACCGCUACUGCGUGGACGCGGUGCGGGACUUCUGGGUGGAGAGGAGCGCGGAGGCCGUUCAGCGCCUGCAGGGAAACCACGUGGUUGUUUUAGGUGAGCGUCCACAGCUGCCCCGAUGUUUUCACCUUCAGUACAGAUCAGAUAAACAACUCGUCAAUUAAUUAUUACGCCUUUUUGUUUUUAGGAUCCGGGAGCC
rnacentral:lncRNA from 1 species